GUUGGUGGAGGGAGGGGUUGGGGGUGGGCUUGGAGGGUAUACCGUGGGAAAUCGCUUAUAAAAUAAAAUCAAACACUUGGGAUAGGCAUUUAAAUUCCUCCAAACCAACUUAAGAUGGGAAAUGAGAAGGGGGAUGAGUGGGGUUAGGAGGAGGUGAGUCACGCGGGGGCCCUGGGCAGAUGGCCCCCAAAUGUGCUGAUUCUUUCCUACUCCUCAGGUCUCCCCAAAACCAUCACUUCCUCCAGGAGACCCUUCCUAACUUUGCCAUCAAGUGGUCCCGAGAUAGAACAGAGGCUGUGUUUAGACCCCCACCCCCGCCCUAACCACAAAACCCACGGCUCCCUGCGUGUCACCUUAGAAGAAAAGGCUGAGCAAUCGUGGUUUUUUCUUUUUUUGAGCAGUAUAUCUCAUAGGAAAGCGGAAGCGGGAUCUUUGCCAGAAAGAACUCGGCCGAAGAAACCGGACUAAACCAGCCUGUGCCGCGGGGGACCCCAGCCCUGACCCCUCACCCACUCUCGCGACAGUCCCGACGCUCGCGGCCGUGGGUGGAGACUUGACAUGCAAAUGAGACACGCGGGGCAGGUAGGAGCCUGUGCCACCCACUGCGCCUGCGCGCAGCUGCCCGGCUCGGCGCCCGUGCGAGCGGGGCGCCCCUUCUUUCCAGCCUCAGGCCCUCUGCGAAGCGCCGUGGUUCCGGAAGCCGGCCGGGGCUUCUGCUCCCAGAGUCAGCCCCCAAUAAACGCUGCGUGCAUCUUUCUUGGCCUCAUGUCAGUUUCUGUUUGCGCUGAGAGCCAAAGAGCCCUGGGGUCGGGAACGUAUUCCGGCCACCACGCAGGGACCCCAAGAGGGAGCCCCGGUGAGUCCCCGAGGACCCGGAGACGGCGGACGGCGGAUGGAGCCCCUCCGACCCUUGGGACUGAUGAGCGGCCUGGCGCUUUAGUUCGGCGUCUCGGCGGCGACUGGUUUAGCAAAAGAAAUGAGCCCGAGACCCUGAGCCAGAGCCACCCCUCAGGGGCAUGUCCACAAUUCACUGGAAGCUCGCAGCUGCCUCCUCCUCACCUGCGGCUUCUGAAGAAGGAUCGAGGGAAAGCCCCUGCCGACCAGCAGCCAGUGGGAAACUCUGAUCCUGCUCCAGGCCUCCGAAUCAGAAUCUGUUGUUUAGAAAACCCUCCAGGGAAGCAUAGGCUCGGGUAA
rnacentral:lncRNA from 1 species